GGAGGUAUAGCUCAGUGGUAGAGUAUGUGCCUAACAUGCACAAGGUCCUCGGUUCAAUCCCUAGUACUUUGG
rnacentral:tRNA from 1 species